AUUGAACGCUGGCGGCAUGCCUUACACAUGCAAGUCGAACGGCAGCACGGACUUCGGUCUGGUGGCGAGUGGCGAACGGGAGAGUAAUGUAUCGGAACGUACCUUUCAGUGGGGGAUAACGUAGCGAAAGUUACGCUAAUACCGCAUAUUCUGUGAGCAGGAAAGCAGGGGAUCGCAAGACCUUGCGCUGAUUGAGCGGCCGAUAUCAGAUUAGCUAGUUGGUGAGGUAAAGGCUCACCAAGGCGACGAUCUGUAGCGGGUCUGAGAGGAUGAUCCGCCACACUGGAACUGAGACACGGUCCAGACUCCUACGGGAGGCAGCAGUGGGGAAUUUUGGACAAUGGGGGCAACCCUGAUCCAGCCAUCCCGCGUGAGUGAAGAAGGCCUUCGGGUUGUAAAGCUCUUUCGGCCGGGAAGAAAUCGCAUGGGCUAAUACCCUGUGCGGAUGACGGUACCGGCAUAAGAAGCACCGGCUAACUACGUGCCAGCAGCCGCGGUAAUACGUAGGGUGCGAGCGUUAAUCGGAAUUACUGGGCGUAAAGCGUGCGCAGGCGGUUUUUUAAGACAGGCGCGAAAUCCCCGGGCUCAACCUGGGAACUGCGCUUGUGACUGGAAGGCUAGAGUAUGGCAGAAGGGGGUGGAAUUCCACGUGUAGCAGUGAAAUGCGUAGAGAUGUGGAGGAACACCAAUGGCGA
rnacentral:rRNA from 1 species